AAAAUAGGUGAGAAUCCUAUUGGCCGAAUAUCCAAGGAUUCCAGGGUAAAGCUGAUCUGCCCUGGGUAAGUCGGGGCCUAAGGCGAGGUCGGAAGACGUAGCCGAUGGACAACAGGUGGAGAUUCCUGUACUGCAUAUGGUCAGAACUGUGGGGACACGGGAUGUUAACGGAAGCCGGGAAAGGAAAGACCGGCCCAAGCACAGGAGGCGUUGCGCAGGCAAAUCCGCGCAAUAAGCCAGAGGUGUGACGGGGAGCGAAAUAAAAGUAGCGAAGUCCGGAUACAUGCUGUCAAGAAAAGCCGCUAUUGCGCCAUAUGUACCCGUACCGUAAACCGACACAGGUGGAUGAGGAGAGAAUCCUAAGGCCGGCGGGAGAAGUGUUGUUAAGGAACUCGGCAAAAUGGCCCCGUAACUUCGGGAGAAGGGGCGCCCAGAAAUGGGCCGCAGAGAAAAGGCUCAAGCAACUGUUUAGCAAAAACACAGGUCUAUGCGAAACCGAAAGGUGAGGUAUAUGGGCUGACGCCUGCCCGGUGCUGGAAGGUUAAGGGGAGAGGUUGGCCGCAAGGCGAAGCUUUGAACUUAAGCCCCAGUAAACGGCGGCCGUAACAAUAACGGUCCUAGGUAGCGAAAUUCCUUGUCGGGUAAGUUCCGACCCGCACGAAAGGCGUAAUGAUUUGAGCACUGUCUCGACAACACACCCGGUGAAAUUGAAAUACCAGUGAAGAUGCUGGUUACCUGCGCCAGGACGGAAAGACCCCAUGGAGCUUUACUCUAGUUUGAUACUGGGACCCGGUAUGACAUGUACAGGAUAGGUGGGAGGCAGAGAAUUAAUGACGCCAGUCAUUAAGGAGCCGAUGUUGGGAUACCACCCUUGUGAUGCCAGGUUUCUAACGAGCUGCCGUGAACCGGCAGGCGGACAAUGUCAGGCGGGGAGUUUGACUGGGGCGGUCGCCUCCGAAAGGGUAUCGGAGGCGCUCAAAGGUUCCCUCAGAAUGGUUGGAAACCAUUCGGAGAGUGCAAAGGCAGAAGGGAGCCUGACUGCGACGCCGACGGGUGGAGCAGGUACGAAAGUAGGACUUAGUGAUCCGGUGGUAUAAAGUGGGAUUGCCAUCGCUCAACGGAUAAAAGCUACCCUGGGAUAACAGGCUUAUCACUCCCAAGAGUUCACAUCGACGGAGUGGUUUGGCACCUCGAUGUCGGCUCAUCGCAUCCUGGGGCUGGAGUAGGUCCCAAGGGUUGGGCUGUUCGCCCAUUAAAGCGGUACGCGAGCUGGGUUCAGAACGUCGUGAGACAGUUCGGUCCCUAUCCGGCGCGGGCGUAAGAGAUUUGAGAGGAGCUGUCUUAGUACGAGAGGACCGGGAUGGACGGACCACUGGUGUAUCUGUUGCACCACCAGGUGCACGGCAGAGUAGCCAAGUCUGGAAGGGAUAAACGCUGAAGGCGUCUAAGCGUGAAGCCCCCCUCAAGAUAAGAUCUCUCAUUCGAAAGAAGUAAGACCCCUUGAAGACGACGAGGUAGUUAGGGCAGGGGUGGAAGGGCAGUAAUGUCCGGAGCUGACUGUUACUAAUCGGUCGAGGGCCUGAUC
rnacentral:rRNA from 1 species